GGGUCAGUAGGUUGGUCGUGCCACCGGUACGUACUGGUCUCACUGGUUCCUCCUUCCUGAAGAACCGUAAUGCCAUUAAUUUGGUGUUGCGGGGAAACAGGACUGUUACUUUGAAAAAAUUAGAGUGUUUAAAGCAAGCUAACGCUUGAACACAUUAGCAUGGAAUAAUGAAAUAGGACGAUCGAUCCUAUUUUGUUGGUUUCUAGGAUUGACGUA
rnacentral:rRNA from 1 species